UGGCUCAGUCAGUAGAGCAUGUGACUCUUGAUCUCAGGGUCGUGAGUUCAAGCCCCAC
rnacentral:tRNA from 1 species